rnacentral:tRNA from 1 species
AAUCGUACUUUUGAUAUCACAAGAUGGAAUUUAAAAGGUCUAAAGCUUUAGAAGAGCUGAAGAUUUUAUAAAUA